CGGAUGGUUUCUCCCUCCUAGCCACUGUGUGGCACUGUGCUAUUUCAAUCAUCGCUGUGACAGCGGGGUGGUAUCCGGCGCCGCUGCAUAUAUAUACACAGGUGGGUGGUUUCACCUCAGUCUCAUGCUUUCUCUUGAGCUCUCCCCGUGGUGGUAACUGCAGCCAAGCGGGCUGGAUCUGGCGUGAUCAAUCGGGACGCACAUCAUAUCAUCGGUACAGUGACGCUGGGAGACGGGUCGCUCCGUUCAGCGUGCCGUGGGUGCUUCUGUGACGACAGGUUUAUUUGCUGCUGCUGUCGUUGGAUCUCCUCCUCCUGCAUUGCUUCUACGCUGCGCCACAGCUAACCGGGUAUGUAUCGCUCAAUGAGGAAGUGAUCAAUGAAGUCCAGGUGAUGUUAUUUAAUGACAAUUCUGCUUAAUUGUCUACCUUUACUAGGUUGCAGCUAGACGUGUGGUUCAUUGGACGUCAUCGUUCCCUGGACUGGCUGCUGUCUCGGCUGUCUCGGCUGUUUCGGUUUUUUUCUUUCUUUUCGCCGGCUCUUGGUUGCGGCUCUUGUUCUCGGUCUGUUUGCCGGCUCUGUGAUUGGUGCCGACAACUUGCUGUGUUUGACUGUGUUGGUUUGGUGAGCCUCGGCGGCAGUUUAAUCCCUGGUGGUGGUUCACGGAUCCCUUUUUCGUUGGUGUGUUGUCACAGGUGUGAUUAUUUGGACCCCCUUUUUCUUCUUUUUGGUUAUUUGUUUGCCUGCCGCCAUGGUAAGCCAGCCUGCUCCCUUUACCCUUUAAGCUUCAGCGUACCGCCGGCGGUACACCUACUGAUUUGCAUAGGAAUUUCAAGAAUGUCCGACGGGUGCAAACGCGAUUAUACAAACACUAUACACCGAUGGAAAGCUUAGAUUCUCAUGAAUCUGCCGGUAUAAACCACUUUCAGAUGCGAUUACCACAGCGGGUGAGAAAAACACAUUUGUCCGACAAAAACGAAUAUUCAUCCAUCCGUUCUCUAUACACGGCUUCAAAGCACACAGCGCGACUCACAUUUCCGGGUUUAUUAUUACACACAAAAAAAAAAGAUUCCACAAAAAACGGCCAUAAUCCAACCUUUUACAUCAGAUGACACAAGCCAGUAAACUAUUUUGUCCAAAAC